rnacentral:misc_RNA from 1 species
CAGAGUUGCAAAACUCCCACAAAACCAUCGCGAAUCUUACCCGUACGGUUGCCUCGGCGCUGGCGGUCCGGAAGGCCCUCGGGCCCCCCGGAUCCUCGGGUCUCCCGCUCGCGGGAGGCUGCCCGCCGGAGUGCCGAAACCAAACUCUUGAUAUUUUAUGUCUCUCUGAGUAAACUUUUAAAUAAGUCA